rnacentral:SRP_RNA from 1 species
GCCAGGCGCGGUGGUGCGUGCUUGUAGUCCCAGCUAGUCAGGAGGCUGAGGUGGAAGGAUCGCUUGAGCCCAGGAGUUCUGGGCUGUAGUGCGCUAUGCCGAUGGGGUGUCCACACUAAGUUCGGCAUCAAUAUGGUGACCUCCUGGGGACGGGGGACCACCAGGUUGCCUAAGGAAGGGUGAACUGGCCCAGGUCAGAAACGGAGCAGGUCAAAAUUCCCAUGCUGAUCAGUAGUGGGAUGGCGCCUGUGAACAGCCACUGCACUCCAGCCUGGGCAACAUAGCGAGACCCCGUCUCU